CAUAUCAGUGUUCACCGUGGGCGGUGUUUACGAACGUGCGCGUUGCUACGGUUGCGCGCCUGUCCCGAAGUUAACUUCCGGUUUGUGUUUGUUUUUGGUCUGGUUAGUGGCUUACAAUAUGGCGCCCACUACAAAAAAGGUUCGAAUUAAGAUAAUGAGUAGAAAGAAGUUGGGAUCGACUUGUAGUGCUCUAGGAUGCAACUUGACAUCUGGAACAAAUACGUUAUCGAAAAUCAAAAUGUAUCGGUAUCCUAAAGACGAAGACAGACGUCGAGCAUGGCUCACCGCGGUGCAAAGAGACGGAGAGGGUUUGCAGACACGCAAGAAUCUAAGGCUCUGUAGCAAUCACUUCAUUACAGGAGCACCAUCAGCGGAUCCAUGGAAUCCAGAUUAUGUUCCAUCAAUAUUCGCGCACAAAACCACCGCUGAUGGUUCACAGAAGCUGGAGCAAAAGCAGAUGAGACAGAAGAAAAAAUCUGUGGUUAAGUCCAAUGAUUCACCUUCUUUAGAGGUCUCUCAUACUGAUCCUAAUAAACAAUGCACGGCUGCGGAUCUUUCAAUGGCAGACAUUGACCGGCUACAAAAAGAAAACACUGAAUUAAAAAGAAAAGUGGCUGUACUGGAGAAGACACUGAAAUCUCAAGAAAAUGACUACAAGAUUGUAUGUUGGGCAGUGUGUCCGAAUUGCUUCUGUGUUUUUCAACCUCGUCCCUUACCUGACGACAAAGUGGAAAGCAUCAUCGACCAUCCUUGCCAUUCACGAGCAGUUUCUUGUGGUCCUGGUGAAGCUUCUUCUAGACUUAAAUAAAUUAAGAUCUAGCUUUUCACUUCUGAGUGAGUUGUGGAACUGUCCGGUGGCCGUCCAAAAAAGAUAUCAAAAGAAAUCUCCCCACGCUCUUCAAGACUACAGGUUACAAUAUAAUAGUGUGAAGUUCCUUGUUGGAAUCAGUCCCAACGGGAGCAUUUACAUUUAUAUCAAAAGUCUGGGGUGGUCUAUUAGGGAAAAGGUUAUAACAAAACAUUCCGGUUUGAUUUACCUUUUUUGACCAUUUAAUGGCUGAUCGAGGCUUCAUGUUUCCUAAUUAUUUUGCCAACAAAUGUGUUCAUCUUUAUGUACCAAUAAAACAAUUGAUAGGAUUUGAGGUGACACACUAGAAAAAAAAUCACAUGUGAGAAUCCAUGUGGAAAGGGCCAUAGGAAAAUUGAAGUCAUUUAACACCUUGCCAGUCAGUAUUGUUAUAUUAUAUGUUAAAAUGAUAAGUUUGCACAAUAGAUUUAUUGACAGAUUUAUUUACUGAUAAAUAAAGUUACUAAAGACUACAAUUUAUGUUGUUUCUACUGUAUUUAAUAUAAAAAGUGAAAAUGCUUAAAGUAAAACACCACAGUUAUCAAUAUUUUACUAUGUUCUUACCUCAACUUAAACAAAUUAAUACAUACCUAUCUUUUUUCAAUCCGUGCACUUAAUCUUUGCACAGCGUGUUGUGAAUGUGUUAGCAUUUAGCCUAGCCCCAUUCAUUCCUUAGGAUCCAAACAAGGAUGAACUUACUUGUGUAACUACUCAUGUAACAGUCUUUAGAUAGGGAAAACAUGGAAGUAUUUGGUGGCUUCUAAAUUCGUCCCUGUUUGGAUCCUAAAGAAUGAAUAGGGCUAGGCUAAAUGCUAACACAUUCACAGCUAGCUGUACAAAGAUAAAGUGCACGCAUUGAAUAAAGAUAGGUAUGUAUUAAUUUAAGUUGAAGUAAGAACUAGGGGUGGACGGUAAAUCGAUAACAAUAUGUGCUGCCGAUAACGGUAGAAACAAUUUCAACAUUCAAAUGGGUUAUUGUUUAGCUUAUAAUGUUAUAACUGGUUAUAGCUUGAUAAGAUUUGUUUUGUUUUGCAAUUGUAUAGUGAUCAUAUAUAAUUAUUUCUCAGUCUCUUUAUUAGCAUACAACCAGAACAUACAUGAAAUGUGUAUGUAGUAUUAUAAACAGUAUAAAAGUAUAAGCUGAUGUGUCAAGUAGGGUAAACAUAGGCAGCUGCAGGAUCUCUUAAACCUAAAUAAAAUUAAAUCCUAAUUUCUAAUUCUAAUCGAAUGACUUCAGGACUUCAGUCUCCUCAAAAAAGCUCAAGAUGUGUUUCAUGCCAAGAGAGGUCACACUAAAAUACUGACUGAUGCCUGAAGAAGACAUUUAGUUCUGAAAAUUGUUUAGUUUUUUUGUUUGUGUGCAUAUUUACUGUAUUUUUUGUUUCUUAAAAUCUUAAAAAAGAGUGAAAAAUAACUUUACUAAAACAACAAAGCUGGUGAAGACUUUUGCACAGUACUGCGUGAUCAAAUCAGGACACUAAAACAUGCAAAUGUUAUGACAACUGACAAAACUUGAUUUUUGCACAUGCGCAGUACAAUUCCUCGCUGCCUGAGAGGAGUGUGUUCGCAUUAUUAUGUGGAUUUUGUAACAAAAUUAAGUUUUAAUAUUACAUUACACACAGAUUCAUUCACAUUUAUUAAUUUAAAAGACGCUGAAUAACACACAAAAUAAUACACCGAGUUGAAGCUAGAACAGAAGGGUUUUCUUCAGAUGUUUUUUUUUAAGCUGAGGUGGACUCAAAAUUUGCAUUUGAAAGAUACAAACAUUAAAACUUAGCCCAUCACAGAUCAUUCUGCAUACCGAACAAAGCAGCGCAUUUCACUAAUGGGUACACAAAAGUUGAAAUGACGGAUGUCACAUUAAUGACACGUGUACCGCAUAUUUUAGUGAGGUUGGGGUGUAGGCUACAUUAUACACUUAAGUUUCUAGUUGAAACUCUUCUUGACUUAAUCAGUAAAUUUUUGUAAAAGCAAUUACAUGAUGACAGACUGAAACAUUGGAUAUAUUCAAAUCCACGGUGAGUCAAAGUGUAUGUAAACAUUUUGUAGCGAGGGAGACUCCACCUGGGAUUUGCAUGAUCGUGACUGGGUCAGACCUCUUGUGUGCGUCUGUCUUUGUAUGUGUACCUGGUAUCCAAGGUAGAACCAUCAUUAGUUAAUAUCACCGAGCAAUUUGAGCCACCCGUUAUGGUUACCCCCUUAUUGUAUUACAGUUCUGUCUGUCUGUGUACAAACAGGUGCACACGCAGAGCCUAAUAGACAUAAUGCGCAUCGUCAAUGAUCAUUAAAGUGAAUGCCUGGAUGUGCGCUAAUACACAUGGCCUCUCCCUUCACUGAGAUGGAAUGGUGCACGGUUGUCUUUUCUCUUUUAAUAUUCAGUGUUGUUACCCUGUAUGGCCUAAUACAGGAGAGGUGCAUUCAAACUGCAGACAACGAAGAUAGCAAAGAAAGACUUGAAGAGCUACUCAUCAUCAUCUGACUCGUGUCUGCAUUCAAUGGAACCAGAUUUGUAAAGAAGACUGUUCUGGGAUCAGUUAUGUUUUGUGUGUGUCAUCAAUCUAUUAAUCAAUGGACCUCUAAAGACUGAAGACUUGGCGUUGCAUAUCAUCGUAAUUUGUGGACACACUCAACUCUGUAACACUGUUCUGGGAACAGUCAACACACCUGACCUGCACGCAGCUGCUUAAAGUUCGCUUGAAACUGAUCACCUGGAUUGAAUCCAGCUGCAAACUCGGGUGAACAAUAAAGACGGCAUGUAUGUGUUGGGUGCAAAAGUAUGAAAAGUAUGUUUGAACGCGUUGACGUGGUUUAUAACAGCUGUAAGGAAGUGGGAAGAACUGGACCUUGAUUGCUGUGUGUGAGAAAGCUCGUAAAACGCAAGGCUUUAAAACUCAAGCAUGUUUCAUACGCUGUGUGUGGUAUAAAUGGAAUAAGUUCAAUCCUAUGAGGGAAAGCGAAAGAAGGUGUGUAAGAGUGUGUGUUUGUUAUGGAUCUGCCGUUUUCAGGAUUGGAGUUGGUUUUCAUCGUCAUUGCUUUCACUGUCAUGUGCUUAUUUGCCUUGGGUGCUAUCUACAGACAUCAUAGAAAUGAUCAAGAUGAUAUUCAGACAGAGCAGAGGAUUACACAUCGGAAGAAAAAAUCUAAGAAAAAACAACCCGGCAGCAAACUCAUUACAGACCUACCAUGAACAUACUGACAUACAUCUGAGUGCAGUUGACCAGAGGAUUGUGGGAUUGUCAGCAUACUUGAGCAGGCCAAGAGUGUGACGUCAUGCACUCUCCGAAAAAGUUACAAAAGCUGUAACUGGGGCAGUACCCUUUAAAAAAUAUACCUUUGUGCUUAAAGGGUGUGUAUUACUACCUCAAAGAUAAAUAUAGUGUUACCAAAUAAUACACAUUUGUACCGAAUUGCACUUAUUGUUACAUUUUUAAAAGGGUAUAUCGUCCCAGUGACAGCUUUUGUAUAUCUUUCUUUCUGACGGUGUGGUUUUGCAAAGGCCAUUUGUGAAGAUGCUGGAGCUUUGAAUUCAGUGUUAAAUCAAAUCAGAUUUAAAUUAUUUUAUUUUUAAUGUAUUUUUAAUAUUUUAGUGCAGUUUUCGUGUUUUUAUUGCUGCUAGACUGUGGGUGAGAAUGUAUUAAAUUAACAUUUGUAUUUAAUGUAUUAUCACAUAUUAGAAAAUGUACAAAUGUGAAAAUGUUUUUCUUUAAUUUGUUUAUAUACAACCUAUAUGAGUGCUGUCUUUAAUUUCCAUAUUGACUUUCAUAGAAGGAUUAAAGUUUACUGCAUGUGGAAGUCAAUGAGGCCUCUGAUCGGUUUGGUUAAAAAAUUUUGCAAAAUACCUUCCUUUGUGUUAAUCAGAACAAAGAAAUGUAUAUAGGUUUGUAACAACAUGAGAGUGAAUAAACAAUGACAAAUGCA